rnacentral:tRNA from 1 species
GGGGUCGUUAGCUCAGUUGGUAGAGCAGUUGACUUUUAAUCAAUUGGUCGCAGGUUCGANAAUUCAGGCAACACCC